rnacentral:lncRNA from 1 species
CUGGAGUGUCCUUUCGCGCACGUUCCGCCCAAUAAUGUUCCAUAUAUGCUCGAUAUGGUUCAAAUCCGGGCUACGAUCCGUCCAAGGAAGAUGAAACGAGUUCCAUUGGAACAAUGGAUCUUCCUCCACGAUGCUAAUUUUCAACUUUAGCGAGCUCUGCACUACAUUGGAUACGGAAAACUGUGUGUCUGUUUGUAAGCAAAGGUCUCUGAAAUGGUCUUAUCGCACGAUAACCAGUAGCGAUGAGUCGAUCACGAACAGUUCUUGUUAAAAAGCUCCUGUAUGCCCACCAC